rnacentral:rRNA from 1 species
GGACCCGCACAAGCGGUGGAGCAUGUGGUUUAAUUCGACGCAACGCGAAGAACCUUACCAGGGCUUGACAUCCCCCGCAACUUCUGGAAACAGAGGGUUUUGUCCUUCGGGACGAACGGGGAGACAGGUGGUGCAUGGUUGUCGUCAGCUCGUGUCGUGAGAUGUUGGGUUAAGUCCCGCAACGAGCGCAACCCCUACUUUUAGUUGCCAGCAUUUAGUUGGGCACUCUAAAGGAACUGCCGGUGACAAACCGGAGGAAGGUGGGGAUGACGUCAAAUCAUCAUGCCCUUUAUGUCCUGGGCUACACACGUGCUACAAUGGCCGAUACAGAGGGCGGCGAAGGAGUGAUCCGGAGCUAAUCCCAUAAAGUCGGUCUCAGUUCGGAUUGUAGUCUGCAACUCGACUACAUGAAGUCGGAAUCGCUAGUAAUCGCGAGUCAGCAUAUCGCGGUGAAUACGUUCCCGGGUCUU